rnacentral:tRNA from 1 species
GCUAACGUGGCAGACUUAAUGCGUUAGAUUUAAAAUCUAACAAUGAAAUUUUUAUAUUUCCUUUAGCA